UACGGAGGGUGCAAACGUUGCUCGGAAUCAUUGGGCGUAAAGCGCACGUAGGCGGCCUGAUAAGUCGGGUGUGAAAGCCCUGGGCUCAACCCAGGAAGUGCACUCGAAACUGUCAGGCUUGAAUAUGGAAGAGGGUCGCGGAAUUCCCGGUGUAGAGGUGAAAAUUCGUAGAUAUCGGGAGGAACACCAGUGGCGAAGGCGGCGACCUGGGCCAAUAUUGACGCUGAGGUGCGAAAGCGUGGGGAGCAAAACAGGAUUGAGAAACCCUGGGUAGUCCAAGAACCCAAGUACUCUGCUACCAGAUC
rnacentral:rRNA from 1 species